CAGCAGGAAGUAUGAGAUCAUUGCUGCAGCUCAAGUUCAUGCAUCUUGACAGAGAGAUGCUCUCCAUACCAGCCUCAGCAUUGGUGUUACAGGCUCAGGCAGCCAUGCCCACCUUUGUAUAGGUGCUGUGGAUCUGAAAUCAGAUUCUCAUAUCUGCACAGCAGCCACGCCUACCCAUUGAGCCAUCUUCCUAUACCUGUACACCUUUUAAUAACCAUGUAAUAGCAACUGGAUUUACUAGAAAAGAUGUGAGAAACUGCACAAGCUCUCAGCGCCUGGAUGACACCACCCUCUGCCGUGUGUUUUCUGCUUUGAUGGACUGCACACCCGAGCAAAAUAAACCUGUGCCCUUUAAGUUGCUUCUUGUCAGGUAUUUGGUCACAAAGUUGAAGACAUGAUCUUUCAUCUUAGUGCUCUAGCUGUCUGCUGCUCUGCCUCCCCCACCAUCAUGGACUCUCU